rnacentral:rRNA from 1 species
ACGCACGCUGGCGGCGUGCCUAAUACAUGCCAGUCGAACGCUUCUUUCCUCCCGAGUGCUUGCACUCAAUUGGAAAGAGGAGUGGCGGACGGGUGAGUAACACGUGGGUAACCUACCCAUCAGAGGGGGAUAACACUUGGAAACAGGUGCUAAUACCGCAUAACAGUUUAUGCCGCAUGGCAUAAGAGUGAAAGGCGCUUUCGGGUGUCGUUGAUGGAUGGACCCGCGGUGCAUUAGCUAGUUGGUGAGGUAACGGCUCACCAAGGCCACGAUGCAUAGCCGACCUGAGAGGGUGAUCGGCCACACUGGGACUGAGACACGGCCCAGACUCCUACGGGAGGCAGCAGUAGGGAAUCUUCGGCAAUGGACGAAAGUCUGACCGAGCAACGCCGCGUGAGUGAAGAAGGUUUUCGGAUCGUAAAACUCUGCUGUUAGAGAAGAACAAGGACGUUAGUAACUGAACGUCCCCUGACGGUAUCUAACCAGAAAGCCACGGCUAACUACGUG